AUGGCAGACGGGUGAGUAACGCGUGGGGAAUCUACCUUUUUGUGGGGAAUAACGCUCCGAAAGGAGUGGUAAUACCGCAUGAGACCGCGAGCUGGGACGCUCGCGGUGAAACCUGGGGACCGCAAGGCCUGGGGCAAAGAGAGGAUCCUGCGUCUGAUUAGCUAGUUGGCGGGGUAAUGGCCCACCAAGGCGACGAUCAGUAGCCGGCCUGAGGGGGUGAUCGGCCACACUGGAACUGAGACACGGUCCAGACUCCUACGGGAGGCAGCAGUGGGGAAUUUUGCGCAAUGGGCGAAAGCCUGACGCAGCAACGCCGCGUGGGUGAUGAAGGUCUUCGGACUGUAAAACCCUGUCGUCAGGGACGAAGGUUGGGGGGUUAAUAGCCCUUUAGCUUGACGGUACCUGGAGAGGAAGCCCCGGCUAACUCUGUGCCAGCAGCCGCGGUAAUACAGAGGGGGCAAGCGUUAUUCGGAAUUAUUGGGCGUAAAGGGCGCGUAGGCGGUUUUUUAAGUCAGAUGUGUAAUCCCCGAGCUUAACUUGGGAACUGCAUCUGAGACUGGAAGGCUAGAGUACUGGAGAGGGUGGUGGAAUUCCUCGUGUAGCGGUGAAAUGCGUAGAGAUGAGGAGGAACACCAGUGGCGAAGGCGGCCACCUGGACAGUAACUGACGCUGAGGCGCGAAAGUGUGGGUAGCAAACAGGAUUAGAUACCCUGGUAGUCCACGCUGUAAACGAUGAACACUUGGUGUGGAGGGAGUUGACCCCUUCCGUGCCGGAGCUAACGCGUUAAGU
rnacentral:rRNA from 1 species